UAGUCAGAGACGCAGGCCUCGCUCUAGAUUGGCAGCAUCAACAAAGGCUGUACACGUUACAAAUGAAGCAACGUUCCUUUGCCGUUGGCCCCUGUCUAUGUUCCUUGGAACAGGACGUCACACAGGGUGAGAAUCCCGUGCGAUGGGGAGACCAAUUCUAUGUGAAGUUCCUUCGAAGAGUCCAGUUGUUUGGGAAUGCAGCUCUAAGUGGGUGGUAAAUUCCAUCUAAAGCUAAAUAUUGGCGAGAGACCGAUAGCGAACAAGUACAGUGAUGGAAAGAUGAAAAGAACUUUGAAAACAACCCAAAAAAGUACGUGAAAUUGUUGAAAGGGAAGGACUUUUGAUCAGACUUGGUGUUUAUGACUCCCCCCUCCUUGUGGGUGGGGCUCUUGCUUUAUACCGGGCCACAUCGAUUUGGGUGGCAGGAUAAUG
rnacentral:rRNA from 1 species